GUUUCUCUUUGGGUUUUGUUCUGUGUUCCAGAAUAUCUCCUGGGAAUUACAGUAAUGCCUUUGAUAUAUCAGAAAGAUAUGAUUUCAAAGUGAAGUGCAUGGUUUGUUGUAAAUGCUAUGAUGGCAUUCCCAGAAUUGCCAGGGAAUUAUCUUUGAAGCAAUAUUUUAUGACCCGCUUCUUCAGUGCUCAAAAACAUA
rnacentral:lncRNA from 12 species